UACGGAGGGUGCAAGCGUUAAUCGGAAUUACUGGGCGUAAGCGCACGCAGGUGGCUGAGUCAGUCGAUUGUGAAAGCCCUGGGCUUAACCUGGGAAUUGCAGUCGAUACUACUCAGCUAGAGUAUGGGGAGAGGGCAGUGGAAUUCCCGGUGUAGCGGUGAAAUGCGUAGAGUAUCGGGAGGAACAUCAGUGGCGAAGGCGGCUGCCUGGCCCAAUACUG
rnacentral:rRNA from 1 species